GAGGGUGUAGCUCAGUUGGUUAGAGUGGCAGCCUGUCACGCUGCAGGCCGCGGGUUCAAUUCCCGUCACCCUCG
rnacentral:tRNA from 1 species